AAGAGAAGACUUGGGGUUCAGAGCCGCCCCCCCUCUCCUGCAGUGGAAAUGGACUUCCCUCGGGUCCAGUACAGAACUUCCCACACAGGCGGGUGGGUGAGUGCCCUUGGCGUUGCCCUCAUUGAUCCGGCUGGACACCAGAAACAGAUAAUCUGGUGAGCAGCUGAGGCACAGACUACCUGGGCUCCCACUUAGAGGCUGAUAUAGGACUGAAGAAGCAGCUGCUCUGUCAAACCUAGAGAUCUUGAACCUGAGGGCUGUGGACAUAUUCUUUGUAUCUUCCCUGCAGCUUGGCACCAGGUAGGCCUGUUAGGAACCUCUUAAAUGUUUCUUACGUAAGUGAAUGAAUAAUAUAAAGACAGUAUGAAUAAACACAUCGAUUUAAUUUCUCAAGCAGCAAUAUGUAAAUGACAUCACCAGUGUCUUCGGAUGUCAAUGAUCAGGCCUUAUUUUUGUAUCAUUUUUAUAUCAUUUAUUCCCAAGAGCAGAUCCAGGUUUUGCAGAGCUCAAAGUUAAUACAAUUCAAAAGUCCCUUCUUUAAGAAGAAUUAAAGAUCGCAAAUAUGAACUUAGGUACUGCAUCCUUGAAGGGGCCUGUACCAGUGAGGAGCACUGAAAUGUACACUUUACUGGCUCCUCGUUCAAUCCAAUCCACUCCAGAGUGCCCCUCCUGCACUCCGCUCCAGGCAUACCCCUUUCUCUCUUCCUCAAAACUUGCUCCUACUUAGCACCUCAGCAGGUGCUCUUCGAAUGCCCACCUCUGUCCUUCUCUAUCACAGGUCUCUGAUGGUUUUUUAAAUUAUAAUAAACUAUACAUUAUUAAUAUUGACAUUUAACCAUUCAUAAGUGUACGGUUUGUUGGCAGUAAAUACAUUCAUAAUGUUAUGUAGCAUCAUUGCUAUAAAGCCAAAACUUAUUUUCACCUCCAACAUAAACUCUAUACCCAUUAAACAGUAACCCUCUCUGCCCCUUUCUCCUCCAAGUCCCUAGUAAACUCUAUUAUACCUCCUGUCUCUAAGAAUCAGCCAAAUCUAGGUACCUCAUAUAAGUGGAGUACAUACUAUUUUCCCCUCUCUCUGUGGCUUAUUUCACUAAGCAUAAUGUUUUCUAGGUCCAUUCAUGUUGUAGUAUAUCAAAAUGUCAUUAUUUUUCUUGGCCAAAUAAUAUUCCAUUGUAUGAAUAUACCAUAUUUUGUUUAUCAAUUCAUCUGACUUGAGUUGUUUCCAUGUUUUGGAUAUUGUGAGCAAUGUUCACAGUUAACAUUGAUGUACUAUUGUACAUUCAAGUCCCUGCUUUCAAUUCUUUUUCAUUUGCUUAUUUUGUUUGUUUUUUUAGGGCCCCACCCAUGGCAUUGAAGUUCCCAGGCUAGGGGUUGAAUUGGAGCUGCAGCUGCCAGCCUACACCACAGCCACAGCAAUGAUGGAUCCUUAACCCACUGAGCAAGGCCAGGGAUAGAACCCAUGUCCUCAUGGAUAUCAGUUGGUUUGUUAUUGCUGAGUUGCAGUGGGAACUCCCCUGCUUUUAAUUUUUUUGGGUAUAAACCUAGGUGUGGAAUCGCUGUAUCAUAUGCUACUUCUAUGUUUAACUCUUUGGGAAACCACCAAAAUGUUCUCUAUAGCAGCUGCAUCAUUUUAUAGUCUCACCAGCAAUCCAUGAAAGUUUUAAUUUCUCCACGUCCUCACCAACACUUUUUUUCAGUCUUUUUAAAAUUAUAGCCAUCCUAAUAGAUGUGAUGUGGUAGCUCAUUAUGAUUUUACCUGAUUUUUUUCCUAGCCUUUAACAUUAUAUGUUGUCUUGUUAUUUUUUUCUUCGUGUGGUUUGCUAGUCUGGAAAUCCGCGAAGGCAGGACCACUUCUGUAUGUUCAAUUCUAUAUUUUCAGCAUCCAAAACCAUUCCUGUCACAUGCAGACAUUCUGUUGAAAAAGUAAAUGCACGGAUGGUGUCCUGGAAGCACUCUAUGAUUAUCCCUGGUAAUUUGCUUGUCCUAAGAUCAAUGCUUAAACAACAGCACAUGAACUAGAUAACAACUCCACAGUUAUUUGUAUCAGGCAUCAGAAAAAUCUUUCUGGGAGCCUUGAAACGAGGACACCACUAUCUUAGGACUUCUAAAAGUGAAGACCAAACACAAUUUAAAUAAAAAGAUAUGUCAUAAAAGACGUACAUCAACCUCAGUAAUUAGAAUUGGAAUUCAAAGUGAAUCAAUUAAAAAAUUUCACAAAGCCUGCAUGGAAAACUGCACACUGCCCCUUUUUCAAGCUGUCCAACACUUAGGUUGCUUUGUUUCAAGUAGAAAUGGAGUGAAAAUAUGGCAGUGGGAGGAGCUACGGCACAGAAACCCAAGUCAGAAAUUGCUAACUACUGAGUCAAGCUGGUUGAUAAGAAAGCCACAGGUGCUGUACAACUUUCCGUUUAUAACCAUAGGAAGAAAAAAAUUUCAUCUCUUAAACUGAAACCUGAACAUUACUGACUCAUUCAGAACAAUGUGUGAUCUUAACACAUGGCUUCUGUGCGUUUUAUAAACACACAAUUUCACAACUGAAAGCUUUCGGGGAUUCCAUUUGCUAUGCUGAGAGACUCCCUGGAUGGAGGGGUCCUGGAAAUGCCUGAGGAACUCCAAGCAAACAGGAAGUGUGGGCAGCGCUGCACCGUGAAGAAUUGCAAAGCACAGUGCCGCGUCUAUCACAGCCGCCCACCUGGGCACCACCCAACUUUGCACGAUCUGUUUGCUCAUGUUGCAAACACAAACAAAAUCGUGUAUAUUGUGUAGUCCACAGUUGUUCCUGGUCACUCUCUGGGUUACUAAGCCAAAUUGCAUAAUGUUUAUAUUUUGAAAUCACAAACUUGUACCUCGGAAGGGCUCAUAGAGCAUUUUAAUAAAUGGUCAGAGUAACGCCCGUAAAGGAAGUAGAGGAAGGAAUUGAUGGGCUCCUGACCAUCAAAGAAGAUAGGAGACACACUUGAAGGCAGCUCUCCCAGCCAGAAUAGAUUUACCUGAAGCUAAUGGGGCUGCACAUGUUGUAACCGCUUUAGAACACCCAGCCUGCACGGGGCCUUCCACGGGCAAGAGAGGGAGGAGCUAUUUUUUGAAAGUGCCUGUUGUUUUUUCCUAAAGAGGCUCCCAAAUGUAUGUGCUUCAGCCCUCCAAAACUUGAAUCCACGCAGCCUCUGCUUUCUCUAGCCUUUCUCUGAAAUUAUGGAAAAUUCUUUUAUUAACCAUUUCAUAUAGAAAAACACUGGCAGAUACAGCGAUUUUGGGGGGCACCUUUAUGGGGCCUAGCACAGAGCCCUCCACAUUGCUGGGCUCAGUGUUCAUUUGAUAUAAAACAUUAAAUAAGU